GCUUCAAAAAGUCUUCCUAUGAACUGCAAGGCUCAUUUCUGAUUUCCUUCUCAGCUCUGAAAAAACCAUGCAGCUUUUCUCAGAAACCCUGUGAGAAGAACACAAACUCACAGCCAUUCAGGCCUGACAGUCCCCUGCAGUGAGAGCUCAGCACACAUCCACAGAGGCAAGUCCAGCACCUGAAAGAAAAAGAAAGAACCAGAAGAAAAAGAACUGCUGCUUGAACUCCAGCUGUGCCAGGAACGGGCAGAGCGUCCAAGGAACCUCAGCAGCACUGGGACAGGGACAGCAGCUCAGCUCCUUCCAGAGCCUCAGCAGUGGCCUCUGCAAGUUCUUUUCCCUCAGCAAAGGGUGCACAUCAUCCCUGCCUUCAGCACAGCUCCAGUGGGACCCACCUGGGAAAGCUUUCCAUCCCUUCUGCACUUCCAGCUGGCUCCCUGGAAACUCCCACCUUCAUCCAAACAAGACUUCAUCCCAGCCAAACCUCUGAUUUUAAGGCAUCUCUGCAGGCUGUUAGUUGGAUUUAGUAUCUGUGAGCUGGGACACACAGGAACACCCAGGAGCAUUGCUGGCAGCGAGCAGGAGCCACCGAGGCCUCUGUGCAGCUCUGGGCCUCAAAAGCAGCCCCAGCUUCAGCAGCUGCUUCAUUUUGGCAACACUCACCUGCAGGAAAUGCCCCCUGCCACUCUCCAGAAGAGCCCUGGUCAUGCAGCAAGGGAAGCCUCAGGAUCUUCCUGCUCAUUCCUCCCUGCAAAGAGAUGUUGCAAGAGAAAACCUACAGCUGGUGGGUAAAUCCUGGAAAGGGCAGGAAAAUCAGGGUUAUGGGAAGAGUUUGGUGCUGUCAUGUCAGCUGCCAGCCAGUUCUACCCUACAGCCAUGGCAGGGGCUGGUGUGUAAAGCAGCUUUAGCAGAAGAGGAGCUGCAGUUCCCUUACUGGUACCAAGGAUUCGCAUCCUUGGGAGGUUCAUACCUGUGACCCAGAGACUGGUUCAGUCAGUUGGAGCAGAGUCCUGGUACUGCCCAGGAUGUCAGCUCAAUUCUGCCACACACUGUGUACUUGAGAGCCAGAUUUAAGGAUUCCUCUCGACCCCACUAUAUCCUGUGAUCUGGAAAAAAAAGAAGAAUAUUCUCAGCUUUCAAUAAAAGUUCCAGUAAAAGCUUU